UACGGAGGGUGCAAGCGUUGUCCGGAAUCACUGGGCGUAAAGAGCUCGUAGGCGGUUUGUCGCGUCUGGUGUGAAAACUCAAGGCUCAACCUUGAGCUUGCAUCGGGUACGGGCAGACUAGAGUGUGGUAGGGGUGACUGGAAUUCCUGGUGUAGCGGUGGAAUGCGCAGAUAUCAGGAGGAACACCGAUGGCGAAGGCAGGUCACUGGGCCACUACUGACGCUGAGGAGCGAAAGCGUGGGGAGCGAACAGG
rnacentral:rRNA from 1 species